GCAAUGAAAUCCCUACCAGAGCCAAAACAUGUCUGAAGUAACCCUUGUGAACAACUUGCAUAUGUAUUGAGUUUGGUCAAAUCAUGUAGAUCAUACUAAGAGUUAUUGUCAUAGUCCUAAGAUCAAGAUCGCACACACCACAUUUCAUGCCACUCCUACACUGGGAGCACGCAACAUCCCAUUCCAUCCCACAAAUAUAGAUGCUCCAUAUGGUCAAUAGUAUAGAAUCUCUCUCUAAGAGUUAAGUAUAGACGAGACACAAAAGCAGAGGCUAAAAAAAUAAAAAAAUGCUAGCCUUGUCUCAUAGAAAUAAAGAAAUAGAGAGAGCAAAGUCAAUAAAGGAGCUAUCUAUUCAUCACGC
rnacentral:lncRNA from 1 species